rnacentral:sRNA from 1 species
UACUUCAAGUAUUCGCGGUUGUGUCAUUGCGAAGAAAAACUAAAUGUUCUACGAAACUAUAAAGCAGCAACGUUUCAUAAGUACGAACCUACCUAGCUUCAAAUUUAAAAGAACAAAGACUAUGGAGCAGCUACGCACCAAAUGGCCAUUAAAUGGGUUUAGCUGCUUGCAUGCGAGUAGUACAUGUGGGCCCAGAGUUUUUACAGAUUCAAUUGGAGAACUUUAUUCGAUGACUAAUGAAUUUGGGUGUGUUUCCGGUAAUGAAGUAGACACAAUUGACAAUAAAAUAUAAAUGUUGCAAAAAAAAUAUCGAAA